rnacentral:rRNA from 1 species
UACGGAGGGUGCAAGCGUUGUCCGGAUUUAUUGGGUUUAAAGGGUUCGUAGGCGGGGAUAUAAGUCAGCUGUGAAAUGCUUCAGCUUAACUGGAGAAAUGCGGUUGAUACUGUUUGUCUAGAGUGUUGAUGAAGUAACUGGAAUGAGUAGUGUAGCGGUGAAAUGCAUAGAUAUUACGCGGAACACCGAUUGCGAAGGCAGGUUUCUAAGUUACAACUGACGCUGAUGCACGAAAGCAUGGGUAUCAAACAGG